UCAAACUCAAUUUGGUGGGAUGACUCUUGCUAAGAUGUCAGAAAAGAUUGAGGGCUCAUGUUUGAAUGUCUCAGAGGAAUCUAAUAGGUCGGAAGCUGAAACAAAUGACCAAGCUCAAUGUGGUGGGAUGGCUCUAGCGAACAUGCCAAAAAAGAUAGAGGGCUUAUCUUUCUCAGGGAUGCGGGAAGACAAGAUUGAGGGCUCAUCUCAGAAUGUCCCAGAGGAGUCAAAUAGGUUGGAAGCUGAAACAGAUGAUCAAACUCAAUUUAGUGGGAUGACCCUAGCUAAGAUGUCAGAAAAGAUUGAGGGCUCAUCUCUGAAUGUCCCAGAGGAAUCAAAUAGGUUGGAAGCUGAAAUAGAUGACCAAGCUCAAUGUGGUGGGAUGGCUCUAGCGAACAUGCCGGAAAAGAUAGAGGGCUUAUCUUCCUCAGGGAUGCAGGAAGACAAGAUUGAGGGCUCUUCUUUGAAUGUCCCAGAGUCAAAUAGGUUGUUAGCUGAAACAGAUG
rnacentral:lncRNA from 1 species